GUAAUAUUAAAAGUUUGCUGUAAAUAUUUCAUAGCCACAAGUCUGUCAUUGGCUCUUUCUUACACCAUAACAAUAAUGUAACUCACAUGCAAUGUCCUGAGAGCUAUGGCUAAAUAAUGGACAUACCAACUCUCAAUAUUGGGGUUUACAUGCUCUUUUAAAUAAAAUUGGGUCACCUGUCAAUUAGCAGGGAUUAAAUUGUUGUACUUUGUUAAUGAAGUGAAUGAAAUCCAGAGGGCUGUAAAUAAAGCUUAUCAAGAGAUCACAUGACUACCAACAUCUACAUGGGCCAGAGGAUCAUAUUACAUAAUGAGAGAGAGAGAGAGAGAGAGAGACUCCCUAUAAAGUAGAGAAAACACAACCAACUUUAUGCUUGAGUUCCCUGUGAGAUUUGGGGAAAUUACACAGUAGCAGAUAUGUGUCUCAUCAAAUUCAUCAAAGGGAUGCUGAUUUCAUUCUCAGAAGCCACUGACAACUAAAUGCAGAAGCCGCUGACUGCCACGAAGCAUGGACUACACAGGUACCAAGUCCAACAACAUAAGGGCCUGCUCCGUCGCCUGGAUUUGGAGCAUAGAUACUGUAUGAGGGGGAUCGAGCAGCAGCAGAGACAGUACUACAGGGCACUGGGGAGACUGGGGCCUGGCUGCUGUCCCUCAUCCCAGAGGUCUAGAGCAAAGACUCCCGGCAGCUCCACUCUUCCUGCCCUCCACAGUGCACAGACAGGAAGCUGGAGAAUGGGGUGCACCAGGGCCCAGAUGGCCACAUCUGUGGAUGGGAGGAGUGACACUGAGGAACCACAACCCGACCCGAGAUUGUCCUUGGACCAUUCUGCCGGUGUUGAGACUAACAUGAUUUGGAAUAGGGCUGUUGUCAGACAGCCUACUUGGGCAACCUUGACGUUUGCAGAUAUAAGACACAGACACAUGGCCAUGAUCCAAACCAUGGAACCCUUCAGGAAAUGGAAACACAUAAUUUUGUCAACUACAGGUCAGCCAGACACCAACCAAGAGCCUAGCUGGAACGAGCAAGAUCCAAACAGCCCACAGGUCAUGAGGUCAGCCAGCAUCAGAACACAGAGAGUAUCCCUCUCACAUGCAUCCACACAGAGGUUUAAACAGUUUAACAAAACUGACAGAUAAUAGACAACCUACCCACCACUAUUGGUGCUCCAAGAGAUAGACUAGGACUUGUAAACUGUUCAGUCAUUGUCUGCAAACAACAAUAAAACACUUCAUUCACCACUCCAAAAUGCAUGCUUCAUUCCUCCACCUAGCUACAAACCUGGUUUCUCUGUGGCCAGAGGGCAGAGGUCAGAGGUUAAGAGAGAAGUGAGGUCUGCCUGCCAAUGACCUCUACCUCCAACUGCUCAGAUUAAUCCAAGUCUGCAAACCCUUAAACCGCUGCAAGGCUUUCUCUGUUAAUCAUUCUGGGUAAUCUUUGCAGUUUGUGAAGUCCAC
ensembl:lncRNA